UACGUAGGGUGCAAGCGUUGUCCGGAAUUAUUGGGCGUAAAGAGCUCGUAGGCGGUUUGUCGCGUCUGCUGUGAAAACUCGGGGCUCAACUCCGAGCUUGCAGUGGGUACGGGCAGACUAGAGUGUGGUAGGGGAGACUGGAAUUCCUGGUGUAGCGGUGAAAUGCGCAGAUAUCAGGAGGAACACCGAUGGCGAAGGCAGGUCUCUGGGCCAUAACUGACGCUGAGAAGCGAAAGCAUGGGGAGCGAACAGG
rnacentral:rRNA from 1 species